rnacentral:rRNA from 1 species
AUUGAACGCUGGCGGCAGGCCUAACACAUGCAAGUCGAGCGGAUGAAGGGAGCUUGCUCCUGGAUUCAGCGGCGGACGGGUGAGUAAUGCCUAGGAAUCUGCCUGGUAGUGGGGGAUAACGUCCGGAAACGGGCGCUAAUACCGCAUACGUCCUGAGGGAGAAAGUGGGGGAUCUUCGGACCUCACGCUAUCAGAUGAUCCUAGGUCGGAUUAGCUAGUUGGUGGGGUAAAGGCCUACCAAGGCGACGAUCCGUAACUGGUCUGAGAGGAUGAUCAGUCACACUGGAACUGAGACAAGGUCCAGACUCCUACGGGAGGCAGCAGUGGGGAAUAUUGGACAAUGGGCGAAAGCCUGAUCCAGCCAUGCCGCGUGUGUGAAGAAGGUCUUCGGAUUGUAAAGCACUUUAAGUUGGGAGGAAGGGCAGUAAGUUAAUACCUUGCUGUUUUGACGUUACAAACAGAAUAAGCACCGGCUAACUUCGUG